CUUGCGGGGCAGAUAGUAUUUACACUCUGUCCAGAUUUUCCAUUUGCUUCCAGGCACUUCUUCCACCACGCAGGCGUUGGGUCUGUAAAAAUCAAAUGAAACAUUUUUUUGGGGUCACAUCAUCGGCAUACAAUAAACCAGUAAGUUCGAGAUUGAUCAUCACCACCUUCUCAUCCAUCUCACUUACAUAAUCAUCAUCAUCAUAUUUAAAAUAAAAAAGACGCAAAUUCUAAGGUUGUUCGCCUUUUUUUUUUCGAAGCAAGUUUUUGUGAUUUAUUUAUUUAGCUUUGACUCUCCGACUCCGAUGACGCGGCGUAAAAAGCAAAAAAAUCCCCCCUAGUGAUGCAGCACUAUGUUGUUUUUUGCGACGCGGCAAGUCACACGGACGACGAACGCUAACGACUCGGGCAGAUUUUUCUACGCUGUCUUAAUGAAUAUUGUGCGCAGAUACUGGGAAAGCAUAUCAACAUCCAAGCAUGGAAGAGCAUUAUAGUGUACAAUUUACUUGACUAUGAAAAGGAAAAAAUCGUGACGUAAAAAAAAAUGUAAAAAUGUAAAUUUGUGUGUGUCGUGCAUGGCUGGAUUCAAAGAGGGCAAGUCCUUUAAUAUGGUGAUAAAACAACAUGGAUGAAUAACCCAUUUGAUAGAUCAGCGACGGAGAUGGAUGAACGCGGUGCUGUAGUGAUGAAAACUUCCGUACAUGGUAGCAAGUGCGCGCCUGUUUGUCAGUCGUAUUCAAAAUAAAAUGUUGUUUAUGCGAUCGAGAUCACCAAACCGUCUAGGAUGGGAAAUUAUACACGACAAGGGAGGUCUACAAGCUGUAUAGAAGCUACAACCACAAUAAAAACACUGUACAUGGCUAUCGUGUCGACGGAUGGCCUGAUCACCUCGCCGCGCACGAACGCGAUGGACCUCACGGCGAAGCUGCAGGACGUCAACCCGGCUGGUGUUAUCGACAGGAAUGACGAUGAACACGAAUGCAAACCCAAAAAGAGUUUCACAUUGUGACCUUGGCUGGUGUAUGGCGAUAAUUAUUCAGAACGGCAGUGCAUUGUCCCCCCCGAAAGAACCGUCAUCCGAAAAGAAUCUGACCAAAUAAGGCUCGAGUCCGCAGUCAUCAAUUGCAAAUCCUCCGAGGACUAGCCCGUUUCCUAGUUGGGACGCAGUCGCCUUACUUGACGCUCUCGCCGCAUGCCAAUAAAAGCCAAAACUAGACGAUCUCUGCUUACCCUUGCUGGCGUGCGAAUCGGAUGUGCCACGAAGGCAACUUGGACUUGUUGGCAGCAUCCACCGUGAACCAGGAAGCGCAGCAGAGCAGGACGACAAUCAACAGGGAGAUGGCUUUCAUCGUUCAAUUGUUUUUCGCUGUUAUUUUCGUUCCAAGUUGUAGCUGAUCCACUGUGAGUACUAACUUUUCACGUCACGACGAAGCGCGAAGCUCGGCUUAUCUUCUUUCCAAAAUAAACAAGUCGAA
rnacentral:lncRNA from 1 species